rnacentral:rRNA from 1 species
ACGGUAUAAUAAAAUCGGAGGCCCCGACUGUUUACUAAAAACACAAUUCAGAGCAAUGAUUAAUAUCAUAGUAUUCUGAAUGAAAUUUGCCCAAUGCCAUUAAUAUAAGAGAGGUAAUAGGAAACUGUUACUAAUCGAAAGUCUGGUUAAUAGCGGUCUUAACUAUGAGGAUCCAAAGGUAGCAAAAUAAAUUGGCCAUUAAAUGUGGUCCGGUAUCAAUAAUGUAACGAUGGUCUCACUGUCUCUACAACUUGCUCAGUGAAAUUGAAUUACCCGUGCAGAUGCGGGUUACCUCCA